rnacentral:rRNA from 1 species
UUAAAUUGAAGAGUUUGAUCAUGGCUCAGAUUGAACGCUGGCGGCAGGCCUAACACAUGCAAGUCGAACGGUAACAGGAAGAAGCUUGCUUCUUUGCUGACGAGUGGCGGACGGGUGAGUAAUGUCUGGGAAACUGCCUGAUGGAGGGGGAUAACUACUGGAAACGGUAGCUAAUACCGCAUAACGUCGCAAGACCAAAGAGGGGGACCUUCGGGCCUCUUGCCAUCGGAUGUGCCCAGAUGGGAUUAGCUAGUAGGUGGGGUAACGGCUCACCUAGGCGACGAUCCCUAGCUGGUCUGAGAGGAUGACCAGCCACACUGGAACUGAGACACGGUCCAGACUC